UGGGGUGAGCGCAUGAUCGCUCCGGCCCUGCUGCCGGAGAGGAAAGUCCGAACACCACAGGGCGCGGUGGUUCGUAACGCGAACUUCGGGUAACCGGAGGAAAGUGCCACAGAAAAUACACCGCCGAUGGCGUGCUUACGCGCGUACAGGUAAGGUUGAAAUGGCGAGGUAAGAGCUCACCGCAUCCAUGGCGACAUGGAUGGCAGGGUAAACCCCACCGGGUGCAAGACCAAAUAGGGAAGCGUUUGAAGGCGGCCCGCCUGAAGCUUCCGGGUAGGUUGCACGAGGCGCCGGGUGACCGGCAUCCCAGUCAAAUGAUCAUGGUCCGCUGCGUGCGGAUACAGAAUUCGGCUUAUAGCUCACCCCAUUUU
rnacentral:RNase_P_RNA from 1 species